rnacentral:rRNA from 1 species
ACGAACGCUGGCGGCGCGUCUUAAGCAUGCAAGUCGAGCGGUAAGGGGGAGCAAUCCCCCCUAGAGCGGCGGACUGGUGAGUAACGCGUGGGCGACCUGCCCCGGGGAUGGGGACAGCCGUUGGAAACAGCGGGUAAUACCGAAUACGCCCGGCCGCUUGCGAGCGGCCGGGGAAAGGGGCUAAGGCCCCGCCCCGGGACGGGCCCGCGUCCCAUUAGCUAGUUGGAGGGGUAACGGCCCGCCAAGGCGAAGAUGGGUAGCCGGCCUGAGAGGGCGAACGGCCACACUGGGACUGAGAUACGGCCCAGACUCCUACGGGAGGCAGCAGCUAAGAAUAUUCCGCAAUGGGCGAAAGCCUGACGGAGCGACGCCGCGUGGAUGACGAAGGCCGAAAGGUUGUAAAAUUCUUUUGCGGGCGAAGAAGAAGGCGGGCAGGGAAUGGCCCGCCGGUGACGCCGGCCCGCGAAUAAGCCCCGGCUAAUUACGUGCCAGCAGCCGCGGUAACACGUAAGGGGCGAGCGUUGUUCGGAAUUAUUGGGCGUAAAGGGCGCGUAGGCGGCCGCGUAAGUCUGAUGUGAAAUAUCAGGGCUCAACCCUGGGACUGCACUGGAAACUGCGCGGCUUGAGUCACGGAGGGGGAAGCCGGGAAUUCCUGGUGUAGGGGUGAAAUCUGUAGAUAUCAGGGAAGAACAUCGAUGGGUGAACGCAGGCUUUCCAUCCGAUGACUGACGCUGAGGUGCGAAAAGCUCGGGGGAAGCAAACAGAAUUAGAUACCCUGGUAGUCCACGCCGUAAACGAUGAGCAAUAGAUGUUGGGGCCGCAAGGUUUCGGCGCCGCAGUUAACGCAAUAAGUGCUCCGCCUGGGGAGUACGCACGCAAGUGUGAAACUCAAAGGAAUUGACGGGGGACCCGCACAAGCAGCGGAGCAUGUGGUUUAAUUCGAAGCAACGCGAAGAACCUUACCAGGGCUUGACAUCCUCCUGACCGGUCGGUAACGCGACCUUUCCUUCGGGACAGGGGAGACAGGUGGUGCAUGGUUGUCGUCAGCUCGUGUCGUGAGAUGUUGGGUUAAGUCCCGCAACGAGCGCAACCCUUGUCAUUAGUUGCCAGCAGGUAAAGCUGGGCACUCUAGUGAGACUGCCGGGGAUAACUCGGAGGAAGGUGGGGAUGACGUCAAAUCAUCAUGCCCCUUAUGUUCUGGGCUACACACGUGCUACAAUGGCCGGUACAAAGCGACGCAAGCCCGCGAGGGGGAGCAAAUCACUAAAACCGGUCCCAGUUCGGAUUGCAGGCUGCAACUCGCCUGCAUGAAGUCGGAGUUGCUAGUAAUCGUGAAUCAGAAUGUCACGGUGAAUGCGUUCCCGGGUCUUGUACACACCGCCCGUCACACCAUGGAAGUUGGGGGCGCCCGAAGUUGGCCGGUUAAUAGGUUACCUAAGGCGAAAUCAAUGACUGGGGUGAAGUCGUAACAAGGUAACCG